rnacentral:sRNA from 1 species
GGCAGGAGACUCGCUUGAGCCCAGGAGUUGGAGGUUGCUGUGAGCGUGGUGCCAUGGCACUCUACCCAGGGGGAUAGCUUGAGGCUCCGUCUCAAAAAAAAGAAAUGAAGUAUCUUGUCUAGGGCACCGCUUUCUUCCAAUUGCAUAGAUAACAAAAAAAAAUUUUUUUGAGAGAGAGCCUUAAGCUGUCGCCCUGGGUAGAGUGCCGUGGCGUCACAGCUCACAGCAACCUCCAACUCCUGGGCUUAAGCGAGUCUCCUGCCUUCACCUCCCAGGUAGCUGGGAUUACAGGCGCCUGCCACAACGCCUGGC